rnacentral:miRNA from 1 species
AUACAUUAUUUUUCAAUUUUUUUUUCUGAAUAAAAAUAUAACAUCCAUAUUUUUAUUCAGAAAAAAAAAUUGAAAAAUAAUAUAU